rnacentral:rRNA from 1 species
UACAGAGGUGGCAAGCGUUGUUCGGAAUUAUUGGGCGUAAAGGGUGCGUAGGCGGUUUGGUAAGUCCUGUGUGAAAUCUUCGGGCUCAACUCGAAGUCUGCACGAGAAACUGCCGGGCUUGAGUAUGGGAGAGGUGAGUGGAAUUCCCGGUGUAGCGGUGAAAUGCGUAGAUAUCGUAAGGAAGACCAGUGGCGAAGGCGGGUCUCUGGACAGUUCCUGACGCUGAGGCACGAAGGCCAGGGGAGCAAACGGG